CGAACGCUGGCGUCGUGCCUAAUACAUGCAAGUAGAACGCUGAAGGAGGAGCUUGCUUCUCUGGAUGAGUUGCGAACGGGUGAGUAACGCGUAGGUAACCUGCCUGGUAGCGGGGGAUAACUAUUGGAAACGAUAGCUAAUACCGCAUAAUAGUAGAUGUUGCAUGACAUUUGCUUAAAAGGUGCAAUUGCAUCACUACCAGAUGGACCUGCGUUGUAUUAGCUAGUUGGUGGGGUAACGGCUCACCAAGGCGACGAUACAUAGCCGACCUGAGAGGGUGAUCGGCCACACUGGGACUGAGACACGGCCCAGACUCCUACGGGAGGCAGCAGUAGGGAAUCUUCGGCAAUGGACGGAAGUCUGACCGAGCAACGCCGCGUGAGUGAAGAAGGUUUUCGGAUCGUAAAGCUCUGUUGUAAGAGAAGAACGAGUGUGAGAGUGGAAAGUUCACACUGUGACGGUAUCUUACCAGAAAGGGACGGCUAACUACGUG
rnacentral:rRNA from 1 species